rnacentral:rRNA from 1 species
UACGUAGGGGGCAAGCGUUGUCCGGAAUCAUUGGGCGUAAAGCGCGCGUAGGCGGCCCGAUCAGUCCGCUGUAAAAGUCCAGGGCUCAACCCUGGAAAGCCGGUGGAUACUGUCGGGCUAGAGUCCGGAAGAGGCGAGUGGAAUCCUGGUGUAGCGGUGAAAUGCGCAGAUAUCAGGAGGAACACCGGUGGCGAAGGCGGUUCUCCGUGGGCAUUACCUGACGCUGAGGAGCGAAAGUGUGGGGAGCGAACAGGAUUAGAUACCCC